rnacentral:rRNA from 1 species
CUGAUGCAGCCAUGCCGCGUGUGUGAAGAAGGCCUUCGGGUUGUAAAGCACUUUCAGCGAGGAGGAAAGGUUGAUACCUAAUACGUAUUAGCUGUGACGUUACUCGCAGAAGAAGCACCGGCUAACUCCGUGCCAGCAGCCGCGGUAAUAC